UAUCCUCAGUUGCCAUCAUUAAGUUGGGCACUCUGUGGAGACUGACCGGUGUCAAACCGGAGGAAGGUGGGGAUGACGUCAAGUCCUCAUGGCCCUUAUGACCAGGGCUACACACGUGCUACAAUGGCCGGUACAAAGAGUUGCGAUACCGCGAGGUGGAGCUAAUCUCAUAAAGCCGGUCUCAGUUCGGAUUGGAGUCUGCAACUCGACUCCAUGAAGUUGGAAUCGCUAGUAAUCGCGGAUCAGCACGCCGCGGUGAAUACGUUCCCGGGCCUU
rnacentral:rRNA from 1 species